GAAACAGGUGUCAAAAUGACAUCCAGAUUUAAGGAAGCAUACAGUAGAAGAGGAGGAAAUGGCUGUUCAAAGUCUGAUGAAGUCUUCUCCAACAAACGGACCACCCUUAGCACAAAAUGGGGAGAGACCACAUUUAUGGCUAAAUUAGGGCAAAAGAGGCCCAAUUUCAAAUCAGAUAUCCAAGAAAUUCCAAAAAAACCUAAAGUGAAAGAAGAAAAUACGGGAGAUCCUUUUGGAUUCGAUAGUGAUGAUGCGUCUCUACCAGUUUCUUCAAAGAAUUUAGCCCAGGGUAAGGGUUCCUCUUAUUCAGAAUCUUGUAUAGCUGCUCAGCAGGAAGGAGUCACCUCAGUACUUAAAGCUAAUAGCCAAACUAGUCAGUCGGUGGGUGAAGACAGUGAUGUCUCUGAUAAAUGCUUACCUUUGGAGGAGACUUUGCUUGGGAAAGAAGAGAGCACAAACAGAACCUUAGAAGAUGAUGCAAACAUAAGUAGCCGUGCUAAGUUAAUGACUUCAGUUAAGGUGGAGAAUUUGCACGAAGAAUAUGAAAAGAAGAGCCACUAUAGUCUCAGAAAUGCUGAAGACAGCGCUGAGAAACCCAAGGCAGAAACUACAGUGGCCUCUGGAUAUAAAACUGAUGAAAUCAAGGAAACAAAUGAUACUUGGAACUCCCAGUUUGGGGAAAGGUUUGAAUCACCAUCAGAAAUAUCUCCAGUCAAGGGAUCUGUGAGAACCGGUCUGUAUGUAUGGGAUAAUGAUUUUGAAGAUAUCAAAUCAGAAGAUUGUAUUUUAAGUUUGGAUAAUGAUCCCCUUUUGGAGAUGAAGGAUGAGGAUUUUAAAAGUCGAUUGGAAAAUCUAAAUGAAGCCACUGCAGAAAACAUUGUGCAAAGGCUUCUUAGGCCAAGCAACUGUAGGACGUAUUGUAGGGCGAAUAAAGCAAAAUCUGCACAGGGAGCAUCACAUUUGGGUAAGCUAAUGGAUGGCACCAGUCAGGCCUUAGCCAAAGCGAACAGUGAAUCAAGUAAAGAUGGCCUGAAUCAGGCAAAAAAAGGCGGUGUAAGUUGUGGGACCAGUUUUAGAAGGACGGUUGGACAGACCAGAGACUACACUCUUUUACAUCCAUCUUGCUUGUCAGUUCGUAAUGUUACUCUACAGGAUACUAUGGAAGGAAGCCUGGAUGAGUUCUCUGCAGCCGCUCCUGCAGAUUUGGGAAAAGCUGGUCGGCUCAGCAAAAAGGCAGAUAUUGCAACUUCUAAGACCACUACUAGAGUUCGACCUAGUAAUGCUAAAUCCAAAAAGGAUGUUAAACUGGAAUUUUUUGGUUUUGAAGAUCAUGAUGCAGAAGGUUCUGGAAGUUCUAAUUACAAAAUUAAAUAUUUUGGCUUUGAUGAUCUCAGUGAAAAUGAAGAUGAUGAAGAUGAUGACUGUCCAAUGAAAAGAAAGACAAGCAAAAAAAGAACUAAAACAGCUCCAUCACCCUCCUUGCAACCUCCUCCAAAAAAUAAUGAUAAUCCCCGGGGCAGUCGGUCUAGUACUAAUAAGGCACAAAACUUCGAUUUUACAGAAGACUUGCCUGCUGUGCCUGAAAGUUUGGAGAAGCCCAUAAAUAAACAAAGAGACAAAUCAAAAGAAAAUACCAGAAAGAUUUUUAGUGGCCCCAAAUGGUCACCUACAAAAGCUGUAUAUAAUGCCAGACAUUGGAACCAUCCAGAUUCAGAAGAACUGCCUGGACCACCAGUACUAAAACCUCAGAGUGUCACAUUAUAUACCAUCGUUCAGCAUGUGAAGCAAUUCAAUGACGUGGUGGAAUUUGGGGAAAAUCAAGAGUUCACUGAUGACAUUGAAUAUUUGUUAAGUGGCUUAAAGAGCACUCAGCCUCUGAACACACGUUGCCUGAGUGUUAUUAGCUUGGCUACUAAGUGUGCCAUGCCCAGUUUCCGACUGCACCUGAGGGCACGUGGAAUGGUAGCAAUGGUCUUUAAAACCUUGGAUGAUUCUCAGCACCAUCAGAAUCUUUCCCUCUGUACAGCUGCCCUUAUGUACAUACUGAGUAGAGAUCGCCUGAACAUGGAUCUUGAUAGAGCUAGCUUAGAUCUGAUGAUUCAACUUUUAGAACUGGAGCGAGAUGCUUCGCCAGCUAAGCUACUGAAUGAAAAAGACAUGAACAAAAUUAAAGAAAAAGUCCGAAGACUCUGUGAAACUGUGCACAACAAGCAUCUUGAUCUAGAAAACAUAACGACUGGGCAUUUAGCGAUGGAGACGUUAUUGUCCCUCACGUCCAAACGAGCAGGAGACUGGUUUAAAGAAGAACUGCGGCUUUUGGGUGGUCUGAAUCAUAUUGUAGAUAAAGUGAAAGAAUGUGUGGAUCACUUAAGUAGGCAUGAGGAUGAAGAGAAACUAGUGGCUGCCCUAUGGGGAGCAGAGAGAUGUUUACGAGUUUUAGAAAAUGUAACAGAGCAUAAUCCAGAGAAUCAAAGCUACUUGAUAGCAUAUAAAGAUUCGCAACUCAUUGUCUCGUCAGCUAAAGCAUUACGACAUUGUGAAGAACUGAUUCAGCAGCGUAACUGUGCUGAAGACAGCAUAUGCUUAGGGGACAGUAAACCUCUGCCUAACCAUGUGGGCAAAGCAGUGGAGGACUGCAUGAGGGCCAUCUUUGGGGGGUUGCUUAAUUUAACUAAUGAUAAUGAGUGGGGCAGCACCAAGACUGGAGAACAGGAUGGCCUCAUCGGCACCGCAAUGAACUGUGUGCUUCAGCUUCCCAAGUACCUACCUCAGGGGCAGAGAUUUGAUAUUCGAGUGCUGGGCCUAUGUCUCCUGAUAAAUCUAGUGGAGCGGAGCGCUCGGAAUCGGCACUGUCUCGUCAACAUGGAAACAUCGUGUUCUUUUGAUUCUUCCUUCUACAGUGGAGAAGAAAAGGAUAGUCUGAGGAUACCUGGACCAGUUCACGCUGUUCAGGCUUUAGUGCAGCUAUUUCUUGAGCGGCAGAGAGCAGCACAGUUGGCAGAAAGUAAAACAGAUGAGCUGAUCAAAGAUGCUCCCGCCACUGCGCAUGAUAAGAGUGGAGAGUGGCAAGAAACCAGUGGCGAAAUACAGUGGGUGUCAACUGAACAAACGGAUGGCACAGAAGAGAUACGUAAGAAGGAGGAAGAGGGUGAAGAACUUGACCUCAAUACAGCCCUUCAGCAGGCUGACAAAGACAUGGAAGAUUACAUCCUGGCCUCCUACACGGCACUACUCCUCGGGUGUCUCUGCCAGCAAAGUCCCAUCAGUGUGACCACCGUGCGGAAAUAUCUGCCGGGAGGAGACUUUUCAAUAAUGACAGAGAUGCUCCGAAAGUUCUUGAGCUUCAUGAAUCUGACUCGUGCUGUUGGAACAACAGGCCAGAAGUCCAUCUCUAGAGUGAUUGAAUAUUUGGAACAUUGCUAGC